UCAGCAUUGCUAUGAACGCAACAAAGAAGGGAGGGGUGGAGAAAUAGGAUUCGGUAGAAUAACAUACUUUCUAGAACUGGCCCAUUCCCGCAGUGUGGGGGUAUGCUCUGCAAGAUCAAUCACAGGUUUGUUCUUUUGAAAAAUGCCACGAGGUCCAGGUGGGUUGGAUUUGUUGAGGUUUCCAAUGGAAAUAUUGAACAGGAAAACCCCACUAAUUUUACAACCAAAAAAAAAAAAAAAUGAGAACUGGAUGAUAACAUGCUUCUUCCAGUCCCAGUGUUUUGGGCUAUGUAGGGGGUGGAAGAUUUCCAUGCGGAGAUCUUGUUGAGAAAAAUGCAGUAAAUGUUCAGUUGAGCUUUUACCUCCUCUUCUAUUUUAUGUCCAUUAUUUAUGAUCAUUUGCAAAUAGAGGGCGCUUUUCAUCUUCAACUGCUUUACAACCAUUAACUGAAUAUUUAUAUUUUGUUAACGAGAGACAGGGGUUUUGGUUUUUUUUUUUUUUCCUCAGUUGCUGAGGUGAAGGUCUGACUACAAAAAAUGGAAAUCAUCAUUAGAAUGAUGGGGAAAAUUUUGCCACUGAUAUAGAGCCACUAAAUUGAGAGUCCAUGGAGGGCAAGGAGGGUAGUCAGAAAAUAAAUGACUGUUUCUCCAAAAGUGAUGGGGUUGAAUGGACCUGCCACUACUCUGAGGUUCAAAAAAAAUGCUCUUCUUAUAAUUAUAGCUUCCAGCAUGACUCCACAACCCUUUUAAUAGCGCCCCUCACCUAACACCCUGUCAGGGACUCUUCCCAUGAUGCUGAAAGUAGAUGCAUCUGAGAGAAGUGAAGCCACUCACCUUGAGAGGCUUCUUGGAAAAAGCCACAUCUUUGUGCCACAAGUAACAAUAUGGAAAAACUUAAUGAUCAUCUUAGCAUGGUUUCUACUACUUAGAGUGAGGAUGAAGACUUGAGCCACAGGACUGCUGCUUUUGGCAAGGCUGCCGUUUGGCAGUCUAUCAUUGACUAAGUCAUGCCAACCAGGGGUCCCUUGGUAUAUUUUGCUAUAAAAUAGAUACAGUGACACAUAAGUCCCUCCAAGAGAUGAAGCCAUAAUUCCUGUGACUAAAAAUAAAAUAAAAGAUUUUUGCCAGUUUGAGCCCAGUGCCCUAUACACAGAAGGGAUUCUCAACACGUGUUGAUUUGAUAUUGGACUUGAGGCCAGGGACUUUAGAAUACAGGAGUGGUUUCUAUUUGAGCCAAUUUCAUUCUUCGAUUCUCAUAUUUUUUUCUGUUUCUGUUAUUUUCUUCUAUUUGUGGUUGUGUCAACUGCUGAUAUGCCCCAGGUAAGGAAUCAGUCUCUCUCUCUCUCUCUCUCUCUCUCUCUCUCUCAUAUUGAGGAAACAAAACAAAAACAAAACCCUGUGAUGAUAUAUAGUAUUGUCAAAAGCCAUUUUUUGGCCAUAGUAAAUUAUUUUUAGUCAAAAAUAGGGAAUGAUGUUUUGGUUAAAAAUAUUCUGCUCAAUAAUGAAUGCAUAUACCAUCUAUGGAUGGCCAAUAUUGAGAGAAUUUAAAUUAACAAAACUUAUUUGGCCCCAAAUCUGUACUGAGCACAAUUUAACCUUUGAUAAUUCAAAAGUUCUACCAGGGUCUCAGAGUGAUAUGGGAUCCCACUGUAAUAAUAGCAUCUUUCAUUUCCGUAGUAAACGUUUCUAGAUAUUUUGUCUCAAUUCAUUGAAAUAGGAACCCAUAAAGAAAGGGUUCAGGGAGGACUCCUCCAAAGAUCCACAGUAGCCAGGGGAAUAAACACAGGUUGUUGGAUGCCGAGACACGCUCCAUCCACAACUCCCUCUGGGUUCUCAUGUACUCUAUUGGCUUCUGUGCUGGGUAGUCCUGAUUAAUGACAGUCGUGGAAUCGUGGGAGUCAAUGCACUUCUGUCCCACCCCACUCCCCUUGCAAGGAUCAAGGAGGAAACCUGACCCUCCCUCUGUUUCUUGGGCAGGUGAAGAUGCACACCAUGUCCUCCUCGCAUCUCUUCUACCUGGCGCUGUGCCUGCUCACCUUCACCAGCUCUGCCACGGCUGGACCGGAGACGCUCUGCGGGGCUGAGCUGGUGGAUGCUCUUCAGUUCGUGUGUGGAGACAGGGGCUUUUAUUUCAGUAAGUAGCCCUCCCUCUCAAUGUGCUGCUCAAGUCUAAAGUGUACAGCUCUGUGGAUUUACAACCGCAGGGAGUGUGUGAAUAACUGAAUGAGUGCCCGUAUCUGGCAGCCAUCCUAGGCCUCUGAGAUUCCUCACCUUAAAGUAAGCAUAGUGUUUUGGCGGGACUUUGGCAGGUUUUGCAGAUCUAGGAUGGAAUUUUCCUCCUUAACAAUUCGUCUUUAACUACUUCCUGCUAAGCCUUCUUUCAACUAUUAUGAUCCACCUCACUAUUCCAUUCCUUUCAAUGAAAGGACAGGACAAAAUAACCCUGAGGUAUUGAUGUUUUUGUUUUCAAAACCUAUGGGCGCACAUAUAAACAUAUGGAACACAUGCAGGGCUGCUUUAAGUGCUAUGUGAUUUGGAGUAAAAUAGUAAGGACUCUCCAGUCAUGUGGAUCUGGGAAAAAAAAUAUUAAAGGGCAUAUCCUAGAUGUCUCCAUUCAAUAUGAAAUCACCAUGAACAGACAGAAGGUUAACUCCCCUUAAAGGCAGGCCUGUUUGCAAAUACACAGACUGUCUCUAAAUGCAAACUGAAAUGCCAUACUGAUUUGCCCUCUAUGCCACUUGACCUUGAUUUUUUUGUUGUUGCUCUCUUUUGGCAUAGUUCUUCUCCGGGACCCAUCAAUGAUAUCACCAUCUGGAAAAGGGUCUCUGACAAGUACAGAAUCACUUAUCUCUUAAAUAGCUCUUAGGUGAUUAGAAAGUCAACAGCCAGUAAAAAGUAGACAGCCAAGUCAAGGCGUAUAAAUAAUACACACAAGCAAAAGUCAAUGAUUCCUGUGGGAACUGAUCACUUAAAGAAUCUAGCUCCCAUGCAUCUAUCUCACUGUAUAUUAUAGGACAGAGAAAGAUUUAAAGCCAGAUGCUUGUUCCUUAUAAUUCUUUGGAGUUUUAGAGAGUUCCAGGAAACUGAGCAUGAGUCAUUCUUAAAGGUUCAUAUCACUCCAGUGUAGACAGCUUACCUCAGUUACCCACUAUGCUUUGAAUAGCUCCUGUGAUGACUCACACACUUGAAGUCUCUCUCAUCCUUCCCAAAUGUCAGCCUCUCUCUAGGCAGGUGGGGUAUGUGUGUGUAUGACUGGCAGGGUAGAGGGUGGCCUGUGUAUACCAGUCUGGAGAUCAGUAAGGGAGAUGGGAAGAAAGAGGCUUGUGAGGGUAUUGGCGAUCAGUACUUACAGUGGAUUUGGCAACAAAUAGUUUUUAAAUCACUAGUGACAAAGAAUCAGAAGUGCCUUCUACUAUUUGAAUAGGCAAAUUCCCACUAUUUGCUUCCAGCCAGUCCUUUAAUUGAACGAACUCAUUUAUUUUUCUGGCAAUAAAGCAAUUCUAUCCAGUUCUCUGUUGCAGAGCAGAUGAAUGAGUGCAUUGGGUGAGUGAUUUUCCAAUAGCAGACUUGUUUUACCUUUAAAAUAUCCUGUGGAAGAUAACUGUGGGACAUCACAUGAUCCAACAGUGGGUCAUAAUUAUUCUAUAAUUUGCAGCUACUGAUCCUCAUUUUUUAAAGAAAUGAAAAAGUGGUUCUCACUUAUUAUGCCCAAGGGGACUUUUUUUUUCCUUGAUAAUCCAUUUGUGCAAUUUCCUUUGAUCCAGUUCACUAGGUAAUUGCCAAGCCUAGAAGUGUCCUCUGUUACGUGCCAGGUUGAAUUGUGAUGUUCAACACGACAUUGCUCCAGAAUUUCCAUGCACAGUGCAUGAAAACUGGAUCUUUCUAUGCCUAUGAUGUUUGCAUUAAAUGAUGAAAAAUUAGAAUGGAAAAAAUGAUUGUUCCUAAGUAACUGUAUGAUACUUAUAAGUGUUUGCACAGACACUUAAGGAUAUUGGACAACUAAAAUGGAAACCAAUUUCCAGGUUCUCUUAUUCUGUUACUGCAACAAUCAAAUUUCAGCAAAUUUUUAAAAAUUGUAUCUCAAUAACUUGAAAAGGAAAUGUUAUAUAUAGCAAAUCUUGAUUCUUACUAUAUGACUUUAGCUAGAAAGUGGCUUUGUAAAUCAUAUGUUCUUGUCAGUAUUGUCAUUGAAAAUAUGUGUGUCAUGAGUUUUGCCUUAUAGAAUUCCAUGACUUAUGUUAAUCCGACAUACCCUCAUGCACAGAAGUGUCCAACAUACCUUCAUGCCCAAAAGUAUUCUUGCUAACUUUCUAGUCAACUGGACAAUCUUAUUUGCCCAAAAGAAAUUAGUCCAUUUAGAUUAUUUUCAUGUAAUUCAAAACAUUGAUGGAGCAUCUGUUAUGUGUAAGCAUUGAAUGAGAUAUGAAUGAGAUGCCUAGAAAUGAAUGAGAGAUUGACCUUGUUUUCAAGGGGCUUACAGUUGAGUGGUAAAAGAAAAAUGCAACUAAGUAUUAUUGUCAUAAGAGAAAAAUAACCAUGGAGAAUAAAUUAUAUCCUUUAUGUUUUUCUUGAAUAUUUUGGUCUACCCUGCCAAGAAUAAUACCCUGUCAAUGGGCUUCUUGAUGCCAAAGGACAUAUUUAUUUACAUUUGAAUCCAAGUGUCUAGCUCAUAGCCUGGAUGCUAUAGUAGCUGCCCAUAUUUGAUUGUUGAACUGACAGGAUUGAAUUGAAUUGAAUUGAGUCUAGUUGAAUCCAAUCGAAUAGAAUGGAAUUACUUGUUUGGGAUCUUGGUCUUAAGAACCAUCAAGAAUUAAGGUUGUCAAGUACUGUGGACAAUACUUCUCACCUCAUGGUUAUCUAGUUAUUUAAUAAAACUGCUUUUAUUUUUUUUUGAACUGAAAAAAUAUAUACUAACAAUGACUUAGAGGCUGCUGCAUUUUGGUCAUCCCCAGGCUACAUUGAUGUCUGUUUUGUGUCUGAGCCAAUUAUUCCUACAGGCAUCAAUUGUUGUCAACAAAUUUCAUUCAGUUUCCUUUUCAUCCGCUGAGAUUUACUGUGUGUGGAGAAGUCAGCUCUAAGCACAUAGUCUUUGAAAUACUUUUUAGAGGGAAGCAUUCUUCCCCACCUCUAUACACUGUCAGUUGACUCCUAUUAUUCUCUUUACACUUAUUUUCAAAGUUUUAUUGUGGCUGUGACUUUUAUUUUAAACUGCUUCAAAUCCAUUUUGGAAGUACAAUUUUUUUAGUAGUAGAAGGCAGUUUCUGAUUUUAGUUUGAAAUUCAAACAUCUAAAAGAAAAUUGCCUCCAUAUCUAUCAUUUUUGUCAAUCUGCAAUAUUUAACAAGGAGAGUUUUUUUUUAACUCUAUUAGAACUGUUCUGAAUAAAAUAUUUUGUAAUGCUUACUGUGUGUAGAUUGACCCAAUGAUGUGAAUUGAGCUCAUAUUCCCCUUCAAGCCCAAGUUCCACUACAGCAAGUGAAAGCAACCUUCUAGAUUAUCUGUUUGUGAACAUUAUCCCAUCAUAAAUGGAACAGUUCAUGUAUAAUUAAUGCAGCUUCCCUAGACAUUUUAUGAAAUGAAAGACCCAAUGAAGAGCUAAUUACUCAUUCUUUCCUAUGCAUCAUAGGGAAGAUAGGAGAGCCUAUCAGCCAGCCUUGUGUUCUUGCAGUCCUGUGAGAAAAAUGGUGGCAUAAUGGAGAUGAAAGCACAUUGGGAAGGAGCUAGCGAUUUUCUUACUAGAUUGAUGGAGCCCUUAUAAAGGGUGGCUCAUUACAACCUCAUUUUGCAUGAAAAACACCAAGAGAAAAAGAGCUUCAAAUGAAAUAGGAGAAGUGAAGCUUACCAUAGAUAUAAUUUUUGACAGCCAUGGUGAUUAACCAUUUUAACAUGCUGCUAUGGGCCUGUGGAAUUUCUCUCCUUGGAGAUUCUUAAAAAAUUGACAGACAACCAACCAUCUUGGAUGGUUUCAAUUAAGAGCAACUGAAAGAAAGAGAGUUUCUGGGGUCUUUUUAAGUUUUAAGAGUCUAUAAACAGUCCCUUAAAUAAACUGUAUAUGCUUUACCUUGGCGGUCUGGGGAAAUGGAGAAGUAAAUCAAUUAGAAAAGCCAAGUUGGAUAUUCUUUCAGCUCUUCAGGAUUUAUAGCUUUUGUAAAACAUACUUCCAAUGUAUAGUUAUUAAGAACAGGUCUGAAUAAACGAAUGGCAUUCUUCAUGGGUUAAAACAGACUGUUUUGUAAGAGCUUUAAGUGAAACUUUACAAUGAACUUUCAUUGUUAUUGAUUGCAACAACCUUCUUAGAUCUAGGUUAUUAUUAUUAAGUCAAGCUUCUUUCCUUUGAUAUAUACUGCCCAGAAAACUACUCCCAGACCUGUCGUUCAUUAGUUGUAGGAGUUUGGCAGGCAUUUAAACUUCCUGGGUCUAAACGUCCUUGUCCAUAGAACAAGGGAAUUUUAUUAAAAUAAAUGACCUCUUCUAGCUUUAACAGACUCAUAGUCUAGGUUGUAUUUAACAAAGCUCUGGUGCUAUUCAAGAAAGAACAACCUUGGAUUUAAGUAGUGACCAAAUAACAUUUAGUCUCUUUUAUCUUAUUUACAUAGUUUCUGUUGGUCCCCAGAGAUAGGAGAUUCCACCCAGUUAAAGUAAGAGGAGCCAGAUUCUUCGUUUUGUUUUGCUUUAAGCUGGAUUUCAACCCCUCGGGGAUGGAAUAGAAGCUUAGAUAUGACCAAAUACAUGCAGGUCUUUUGGACUAAGGAGCCAAAGAAGCACACGCUUCAUGAAAACAGACUGUCAUUUUUCUUUGUUAGGAU
rnacentral:lncRNA from 1 species